GAUGAACGCCGGCGGCGUGCCUAAUACAUGCCAGUCGAGCGAACGGACGAGAAGCUUGCUUCUCUGAUGUUAGCGGCGGACGGGUGAGUAACACGUGGAUAACCUACCUAUAAGACUGGGAUAACUUCGGGAAACCGGAGCUAAUACCGGAUAAUAUUUUGAACCGCAUGGUUCAAAAGUGAAAGACGGUCUUGCUGUCACUUAUAGAUGGAUCCGCGCUGCAUUAGCUAGUUGGUGAGGUAACGGCUUACCAAGGCAACGAUGCAUAGCCGACCUGAGAGGGUGAUCGGCCACACUGGAACUGAGACACGGUCCAGACUCCUACGGGAGGCAGCAGUAGGGAAUCUUCCGCAAUGGGCGAAAGCCUGACGGAGCAACGCCGCGUGAGUGAUGAAGGUCUUCGGAUCGUAAAACUCUGUUAUUAGGGAAGAACAUAUGUGUAAGUAACUGUGCACAUCUUGACGGUACCUAAUCAGAAAGCCACGGCUAACUACGUG
rnacentral:rRNA from 1 species